rnacentral:rRNA from 1 species
CCUAAUACAUGCAAGUCGAGCGGAAACGAUGGGAGCUUGCUCUCAGGCGUCGAGCGGCGGACGGGUGAGUAACGCGUAGGAAUCUACCCAGUAGCGGGGGAUAGCCCGAGGAAACUCGGAUUAAUACCGCAUACGCCCCACGGGGGAAAGGCCGGGAUCUUCGGACCGGUCACUAUUGGAGGAGCCUGCGUAGGAUUAGCUUGUUGGUGAGGUAAAGGCUCACCAAGGCUACGAUCCUUAGCUGGUCUGAGAGGACGAUCAGCCACACUGGAACUGAGACACGGUCCAGACUCCUACGGGAGGCAGCAGUAGGGAAUAUUGUGCAAUGGGCGAAAGCCUGACACAGCCAUGCCGCGUGUGUGAAGAAGGCCCUAGGGUUGUAAAGCACUUUCAGUAGGGAGGAAUUAGUAGGGUUAAUAACUCUGCGAAAUGACGUUACCUACAGAAGAAGCACCGGCAAACUCCGUGCCAGCAGCCGCGGUAAUACGGAGGGUGCGAACGUUAAUCGGAAUUACUGGCGUAAAGCGCGCGUAGGUGGUUUAUUAAGUGGGAUGUGAAAGCCCCGGCUUAACCUGGGAACUGCAUUCCAAACUGAUGAACUAGAGUACGAUAGAGGGGGGUAGAAUUCAUAGUGUAGCGGUGAAAUGCGUAGAUAUUCUGAGGAAUACCGGUGGCGAAGCGGGCCCUGGAUUGAUACUGACACUGAGUGCGAAAGCGUGSGGAGCAAACA